rnacentral:rRNA from 1 species
GACGAACGCUGGCGGCGUGCUUAACACAUGCAAGUCGAACGGAAAGGCCCUGCUUUUGUGGGGUGCUCGAGUGGCGAACGGGUGAGUAACACGUGAGUAACCUGCCCUUGACUUUGGGAUAACUUCAGGAAACUGGGGCUAAUACCGGAUAGGAGCUCCUGCUGCAUGGUGGGGGGUGGAAAGUUUCGGCGGUUGGGGAUGGACUCGCGGCUUAUCAGCUUGUUGGUGGGGUAGUGGCUUACCAAGGCUUUGACGGGUAGCCGGCCUGAGAGGGUGACCGGCCACAUUGGGACUGAGAUACGGCCCAGACUCCUACGGGAGGCAGCAGUGGGGAAUAUUGCACAAUGGGCGGAAGCCUGAUGCAGCAACGCCGCGUGCGGGAUGACGGCCGUCGGGUUGUAAACCGCUUUCGCCUGUGACGAAGCGUGAGUGACGGUAAUGGGUAAAGAAGCACCGGCUAACUACGUG